GGGCAGCACGAUGUAGCAAUACAUUGGUGGCGACCGGCGCACGGGUGAGUAACGCGUAUGCAACCUACCUAUCAGAGGGGAAUAACCCGGCGAAAGUCGGACUAAUACCGCAUAAAACAGGGGUUCCACAUGGAAAUAUUUGUUAAAGAAUUAUCGCUGAUAGAUGGGCAUGCGUUCCAUUAGAUAGUUGGUGAGGUAACGGCUCACCAAGUCCACGAUGGAUAGGGGUUCUGAGAGGAAGGUCCCCCACACUGGUACUGAGACACGGACCAGACUCCUACGGGAGGCAGCAGUGAGGAAUAUUGGUCAAUGGGCGAGAGCCUGAACCAGCCAAGUCGCGUGAAGGAUGAAGGAUCUAUGGUUUGUAAACUUCUUUUAUAUGGGAAUAAAGUGAGGAACGUGUUCCUUUUUGUAUGUACCAUAUGAAUAAGCAUCGGCUAACUCCGUGCCAGCAGCCGCGGUAAUACGGAGGAUGCGAGCGUUAUCCGGAUUUAUUGGGUUUAAAGGGUGCGUAGGUGGUUAAUUAAGUCAGCGGUGAAAGUUUGUGGCUCAACCAUAAAAUUGCCGUUGAAACUGGUUGACUUGAGUAUAUUUGAGGUAGGCGGAAUGCGUGGUGUAGCGGUGAAAUGCAUAGAUAUCACGCAGAACUCCGAUUGCGAAGGCAGCUUACUAAACUAUAACUGACACUGAAGCA
rnacentral:rRNA from 1 species